UGGGCUAGAACAAGACCUUACCUUGAAAAAAAAAAAAAAAAGGCAAGAAGAGAAAAUCCAGGGCUCAGCACUGGACAAGUCGUGUCCAUGACACCCGCCCGGGUUCAGGGAGCAUUGCCGUGGAGGCGGUAGACUGAAUGUGGGCGCCUUGCUCACUGCCUGACACAGAACCUUCCCUGUGGAAAUGGAGGUAGACACUGAGGAGACUCAAAUCUCCUCAGAGCAGAAAAUAAGAAGUUGUGGAGAGCUCUACACUAACGGAGAUUUCUUUCGCUCCCUCCAAGGCUCAGGGGACAUUGCAGAAGAGGCCGUCAAGAGAAUGUACGAGUGGAAGAUCAGAAGUGCCAGGAAAGCAGCUACGAUGUGAUGGAAACAAAGCAAUAUUACUAAUAGAUGAAAAAAUAAGCAGCAGGCUGGGGUGUGGGACAGCAAUAGAGUGCCCAGCACGCACGAGGCCCUGCGUGCCAGCCAGCCCCUGCCCCGCAAAGGGGAAAAGCAAACAAGCAGCGGAGUUCUGCUCAUAGCAGUAUGGCUGACUAGUGAUCCUGAAUUACUGCUCACACUACGAGACAGCUUCAAGGGAGAUAAUGUAUAGAUUGCUGAUGUCCUUACGUCACGGAAAUAUGAUGAAACCCUGAGCAGUACAAACGAGGGACCCAGAGUUACAGGAAAUUGCAGAAUCCUUAAAAUAAAGGUCUGGGAGGCUCUGAAACAAGACUUUGCCUACACAUGGAACAACGUGGUUCUCUUUAAGGGGAAUCAGAGCGGGAGCAACGGGAGUGGGGCCACAAGCCGGGCCGACUGGGCAGAAGGACAUUGGGAAUCUCUAUUUCAUAACCUAGAUGGCAAGUGCAUGGGUAUUUAUUGUUUGUUUUUCUUCAUACGCUUUUUGGCAUUUAUGUGUAUCCUCUUGUGUGUAUUGAAUAUUUCAGAAUGUGAGAA